CGUGGGCGCUGGAGAAUUGAGGGGGGCUGCUCCUAGUACGAGAGGACCGGAGUGGACGCAUCACUGGUGUUCGGGUUGUCAUGCCAAUGGCACUGCCCGGUAGCUAAAUGCGGAAGAGAUAAGUGCUGAAAGCAUCUAAGCACGAAACUUGCCCCGAGAUGAGUUCUCCCUGAGACUUUAAGUCUCCUGAAGGAACGUUGAAGACGACGACGUUGAUAGGCCGGGUGUGUAAGCGCAGCGAUGCGUUGAGCUAACCGGUACUAAUGAACCGUGAGGCUUAACCUUA
rnacentral:rRNA from 1 species